GGAAGCAACAAUGUAGAGGAAGACCUUCAUCAUCAGCAUUUGGGAAAAGUUGUCGUCUUAUGAGGUAGACAGGUAAUAGAGCAGACACCUUCUAACAUCGAGGGAAUGUAAUGCUCUGUCUAAUCAGGAUUCAGGAUUUUGAAAGAAGGAGGCGAGAACAAUGUUUUGAUUCAAGUGGAAAUCCGUGAUGACUUUAGGCAGGAAUGUUGGUCACCUAUAUUGGACAGCAGCAAUAUAGGAAGGUGCUGGAGGCGGACACUCACUUCAGUGACAAUGGCAAAGGCAUCAUCUCAUACUGCGCAGGAGGAAAACAAUGGUAAACCACUCUUGUAUUUUACCAAGAAAACCACAUGGCUCUCUGGUUGCAGGGUUGCCAUGUCACCCAGAAUUUUGGGUAGCCCCUGAAUUUUGGCUCCUCCACCCGGCUGCUGAAUUCACCCAUACUUUACCCUGAUUUCAAAUGUGCCCUCCAG